rnacentral:rRNA from 1 species
GUGGGGAAUCUUGCGCAAUGGGCGAAAGCCUGACGCAGCGACGCCGCGUGCGGGAGGACGGCCUUCGGGUCGUAAACCGCUGUUGCCCGGGACGAAACGCUCUUUCGAGAGCCUUGACGGUACCGGGUGAGGAAGCACCGGCUAACUCCGUGCCAGCAGCCGCGGUAAUACGGAGGGUGCGAGCGUUGUCCGGAAUCACUGGGCGUAAAGGGCGCGUAGGCGGCGCGGGAAGGCGGCGGUGAAAGUCCGGGGCUCAACCCCGGAUCGGCCGUGGCGACUCCCGCGCUGGAGCACAGUAGAGGCGGGUGGAAUUCCGGGUGUAGCGGUGGAAUGCGUAGAGAUCCGGAAGAACACCGGUGGCGAAGGCGGCCCGCUGGGCUGUGGCUGACGCUGAGGCGCGACAGCGUGGGGAGCAAACAGGAUUAGAUACCCUAGUAGUCC